UGCCGACCAGCACCUGUUCAGGUAUGCUUCAGGUUAUUAUUCUUUGGUGUUUUUCUUGAGGUUCAGUUUCUUUUCAUGUAAGAUAAAAUUUGCCAAUGGUUUUCCCAUAAUUUCUUAAAUAUUAUUUCUUUUUUAAGAAGCUACAUAUGUGGAAACAGUUAUGUGCAAUAUUAUAAUUGUUCAUUUUCCAUAUAAAAUCAUUUUGCUAUUUAUAUGAGCAAUUAUUGUGCUUUAAAAAGCCUCCUUUUGAUUUUAUGGCUUUUUAAGACUUUUCUGAAUGAAUGGCCACCUUACUGUGCAGUUUUUCUUUUAUGAGUAGCCAUUCAUGGGAAAUUUGCAGAGCUUGGAAUGGCCAAUUUGUCAUUUAUUGCAGAACUUUUUUUGAAAAAUAAUCCUCCCGAGUUUUGUUUUAUCUGGAAAAAAAAGGAACAUGUGUAACUUUUUUUGCUUGGGCCUCUUAUGUGUAAUAUCACUUUAUUAAAGUGUAAUUGUGCACAUUUUUGCGUUAAGAAUUUUUUAGAUUAUCAUCACUUCUAGGAAGAAAGUCCUCACUCCUUAGCUUCCUAAAGUGAAAACCAGGAUCACUAUGCAUACGCACAAUUACAUUUGGUGUAGACGAUCGAAUGGACAUCAUCUUUUAUCAAAAACUUUUCUCUUUUGCUCGAUGUAUUGCAAAGAGGGCAACUUUAUGGGAUACUGGUGAGGCAUGAUUCUCAUUAAUGAACAAGCUAUCACCAAUCUCUAGCAGCGGUGAGCUGAAAACCAAAAUCGAAUUACAUAAUUGUAUAUCCAAGCACUUAUUCUUUUUCCCUUCAUUGUCAAAUCUUGUUCAUUCUAGUUGUCAUCAGAGGUUAAAAUUUCCUUUCUAGGGCUUGC
rnacentral:misc_RNA from 1 species